CUACCCUAUAGUUUGGGAUAACUCCGGGAAACCGGGGCUAAUACCGAAUAAUCUCUUUUGCUUCAUGGUGAAAGACUGAAAGACGGUUUCGGCUGUCGCUAUAGGAUGGGCCCGCGGCGCAUUAGCUAGUUGGUGAGGUAACGGCUCACCAAGGCGACGAUGCGUAGCCGACCUGAGAGGGUGAUCGGCCACACUGGGACUGAGACACGGCCCAGACUCCUACGGGAGGCAGCAGUAGGGAAUCUUCCACAAUGGGCGAAAGCCUGAUGGAGCAACGCCGCGUGAGUGAAGAAGGUUUUCGGAUCGUAAAACUCUGUUGUAAGGGAAGAACAAGUACAGUAGUAACUGGCUGUACCUUGACGGUACCUUAUUAGAAAGCCACGGCUAACUACGUGCCAGCAGCCGCGGUAAUACGUAGGUGGCAAGCGUUGUCCGGAAUUAUUGGGCGUAAAGCGCGCGCAGGCGGUCCUUUAAGUCUGAUGUGAAAGCCCACGGCUCAACCGUGGAGGGUCAUUGGAAACUGGGGGACUUGAGUGCAGAAGAGGAAAGUGGAAUUCCAAGUGUAGCGGUGAAAUGCGUAGAGAUUUGGAGGAACACCAGUGGCGAAGGCGACUUUCUGGUCUGUAACUGACGCUGAGGCGCGAAAGCGUGGGGAGCAAACAGGA
rnacentral:rRNA from 1 species